AUGGAGGAAGGAGGCGGCGGCGUACGGAGUCUGGUCCCGGGCGGGCCGGUGUUAUUGGUCCUCUGCGGCCUCCUGGAGGCGUCCGGCGGCGGCCGAGCGCUCCCUCAACUCAGCGAUGACAUCCCUUUCCGAGUCAACUGGCCCGGCACCGAGUUCUCUCUGCCCACAACUGGAGUUUUGUAUAAAGAAGAUAAUUAUGUCAUCAUGACAACUGCACAUAAAGAAAAAUAUAAAUGCAUACUUCCCCUUGUGACAAGUGGGGAUGAGGAAGAAGAAAAGGAUUAUAAAGGCCCUAAUCCAAGAGAGCUUUUGGAGCCACUAUUUAAACAAAGCAGUUGUUCCUACAGAAUUGAGUCUUAUUGGACUUACGAAGUAUGUCAUGGAAAACACAUUCGGCAGUACCAUGAAGAGAAAGAAACUGGUCAGAAAAUAAAUAUUCACGAGUACUACCUUGGGAAUAUGUUGGCCAAGAACCUUCUAUUUGAAAAAGAACGAGAAGCAGAAGAAAAGGAAAAAUCAAAUGAGAUUCCCACUAAAAAUAUCGAAGGUCAGAUGACACCAUACUAUCCUGUGGGAAUGGGAAAUGGUACACCUUGUAGUUUGAAACAGAACCGGCCCAGAUCAAGUACUGUGAUGUACAUAUGUCAUCCUGAAUCUAAGCAUGAAAUUCUUUCAGUAGCUGAAGUUACAACUUGUGAAUAUGAAGUUGUCAUUUUGACACCACUCUUGUGCAGUCAUCCUAAAUAUAGGUUCAGAGCAUCUCCUGUGAAUGACAUAUUUUGUCAAUCACUGCCAGGAUCGCCAUUUAAGCCCCUCACCCUGAGGCAGCUGGAGCAGCAGGAAGAAAUACUAAGGGUGCCUUUUAGGAGAAAUAAAGAGGAAGAUUUGCAAUCAACUAAAGAAGAGAGAUUUCCAGCAAUCCACAAGCCCAUUGCUAUUGGCUCUCAGCCAGUGCUCACUGUUGGGACAACCCACAUAUCCAAAUUGACAGAUGACCAACUCAUAAAAGAGUUUCUUAGUGGUUCUUACUGCUUUCAUGGGGGUGUCGGUUGGUGGAAAUAUGAAUUCUGCUAUGGCAAACAUGUACAUCAAUACCAUGAGGACAAGGAUAGUGGGAAAACCUCUGUGGUUGUCGGGACAUGGAACCAAGAAGAGCAUAUUGAAUGGGCUAAGAAGAAUACUGCUAGAGCUUAUCAUCUUCAAGACGAUGGUACCCAGACAGUCAGGAUGGUGUCACAUUUUUAUGGAAAUGGAGAUAUUUGUGAUAUAACUGACAAACCAAGACAGGUGACUGUAAAACUAAAGUGUAAAGAAUCAGAUUCGCCUCAUGCUGUUACUGUAUAUAUGCUAGAGCCUCACUCCUGUCAAUAUAUUCUUGGGACUAUGAAUAAAAGUGACCCUCAACAAACAUUUGCUGAAAAAAUGAAUGAACCCUCAUCUUCUCUUAACCCACACCUUAUAAAAUCUUUCUCAACUACUCUAAUUUUCCCUAUUACUUUUUUUUUUUUUAAACUGAUCCCUCUGUUCACUCUCAACACUCUUUUUUUCAGUGUUUGGUGCUUUGAGGGGGAAAAAAAUGUUCUUCAGUUUUACAAUAGUUGGGAAAGAAAAAGGAACAUUUUUAUUGUUUUGUUUCAUCUGUGUUCCUUUUCUCUUGGAUUCCACAUGGCAUCAUGUAAUCAAUUUUUUGCUGCCUUGCACUGAUUGCUCAUAUGUUGCUUCUCCAAACUAACGAUGUGAGUACAGUGUCUGUGUCUCCCUCCUCUGUGGCAUAUCCACCCCCUUCCAUGAACUGAAAGCAUUCCAAUUCUGAGGCACUCUGAACUCUUCCAUAAAAAGUGGCUAUUUUCAUGGCCUCUUCGCAAAGUGUAAUUCUGUCUUCUCUUUCAAGUAAUAUUAAUAAAACUAGUUUUUAAAAUUUCUUUGACAAACAUUGUUGCUAAAGCCAAACAAAUGAUCGAAAAGCUUUCACAAGCCCUUGCUAAUGUGACGUAACUCUGACGCAUUUACACAGGUUAUGAAACUUGUCCUAGUACAUUGGCCUCAGAAGACAGGCAUAAAGCACUCUUUGUGAACUGCUUAGCUUUGUAAGGUCUAUCUGGCACCUGAACAAGCAACAUUUUGCAAAACAUCAGGCUUUGCAUGAAAAUUCAGAUUCCCACACUGAGAGUCCAUUGAGAGAUCUCCCACUCAUUAGCAUGCUACAAGGCCGCUGAAAGAUCAGAGAUGUCAAAAGGGCAAACCUUCACAUAAACAGAACUCAGAGAAACAAACUGAACUGAACUUGGCAUCAGCCAACUGUACGCAUGAAAAAAAAAAACGUGUUUAUUGGGAUGAGAAGAAGGAAAAUUCACUAAUUUGUCUAUAUGCAACUAAGUGAUAUUUUUCCUUCGGUAAAAUUAAUUGCAAAGGCAGCCAGAUGUGGUGGCUCCUGCCUGUAAUCCCAGCACUUUGGGAGGCCAAGGUGGACAGAUGACUUGAGCUCAGGAGUUCAAGACCAGUCUGAGCAACAUGGCAAAACUCUAUCUCUACAAAAAAAUACAAAAAUCAGCCAGAGGAGGUGGUACACAUCUGUGGUCCCAGCUACUCGGGAGGCUGAGGCAGAAGGUUUGCUUGAGCCCCAGAAGUCGAGGCUGCAGUUAACUGGGAUCAUGCCACUGAAUUCCAGCCUAGGCCACAGACUGAGAUUCUGUCUCAAAAAAUAAAAAUAAAAAUAAUCUCAAAGGCAUUAGACAUAAAGCGAUUGUCUAUUAAAUUAUCUCUUGUGGAAAGUAACAUUUCCCUCAAUAUCCACCUUUAUUCAAAUUGUCCUAUGCUUUAAAAUAAUUGGUACCCCCCUCCUCUCUUUGCAAGAACCAGUUGUCCCUUUUUUCCUUUAAUUCUUUUGUGGUUGCUGAAGAGUUUUAUUUAGUCUUCAGUGACUUCAGGCAGUAUAAUGAGCCAAGGAAUUCCAGUGAUAAUGAAUGCAGGUUAUCUGGCAGCUCCUGGGCAGCCAGGGUUGUCCCUGGGAAAAGAUGUCCUCUGAGCUGGAUGAUGGUUCCCUUAACUGAGUAAACAGUCAGGAAGAGGGCCUUGCAGUCCUAAGUCAGGACCCAGGUCCCCUUUCAUUAAAGUCCUGCUAAAAAUCAUCCCGGGAAAAUAGAGAGUCAUACAAAAAGUAAUCAUGAGGAAAUUAUAAGCCAGCCAGAUACUGAUUUCGGUUGACAUCACUUCCAUGGAUCACUUCAUCCAUCCAUUCAUUUAUUGAUCCAUUUAGUCAACAGUUAUUCACAGAAAGCCAACAAGGGACAAGGACUGGUAGGUACUAGGGGUAUGGUGCUAAACAAAACAGACAGUCUUUGCUCCAUUCGAGCUGUAUUCUAGUGGGGAGAGAGCCAGUAAACAGUAAAAUGUAACUUGUAGACUGAACUGUGUCGCCCUCCAAAUUCAUACAGCAAAGCCCUAAAUGCAACCGUGACUAUAUUUGAAGAUAGUCCUUCCACGAAGUAAUCAAGGUUAAAUGAGGUCAUAAGACUGAGGCCCUUAUGAUGGGAUUUGUGCCCUUUAUAAGAAAAGACACCAAAGAGCUGGCUUCCUCUCUUCCUCUCUGCCAUGUAAUGACACAGAAUGAAGGUGGCCAUCUAAAAGCCAGAGAGUCCCUCACCAGAAACCAAACAUGACAGCACGUUGGACUUCCAACUUACAGAACCAUGAAAAAAUUGAUUUCCGUUGUUUAAGGCAUGUAAUGUGUGGUAUUACUGUGUUACGCCCACCUGAGCAGACUAAUACAAUAACAUAAUAUUAGGAAAUGAUCAGAACUACGAAGGAAAUCAUGUAAGGCAGAGGGAUAGAUGGAUAGGCAAUGGCGGAAUGGAAAGUGGCACUGAGUAUGGGGACCAGGAAAGGCCACCGGGGAAGGCCAUUCCAGAUGGAAAUAUUUCUGGGGGAAUUCUUUGACAUGGGGACAAAAAUGGGGCAUGUGAAAAACAGCCAGAAAGUCUCUGCAGCCUGGGCACAUUGGGCAGGGUAUGGAUGAAAGUAAACAGAGACAGAGAGGAAACCAGGGACCAGUUCAUUCCGGCUACACAGGCCAUGGCAAGGACUUCAGAUUUUGUUCUAAGUGGGAUAGAAAGCUACUGGAAGUCUAUAAGCAGGAGAGUGACAUAUAUGAUUUACCUUAAAAGGAUCACUAUUACAGGGGAAAGAGACUGUAGCAGAGAAGGACUGGAAGUGGGAAAAUGAUGAGGUUGGUUUAAUUUUCCAGGUAAAAGAUGAUGGGGACAUGGGCUAGUGGGGUGGGGACGGAAGAGGUGAGAAAUUGUUGGAUUUAGAGUCUAUUUUUAAAAUAAUUGAGGAUUUGUCAAUAGGUUGGAUAUGGUGUGCAAGAGAAAGAAAAGAGUCAAGGACACCAAAUUGAGCUGUGCAGCUGGGUUACUGCAGUGCUGUUUACCGAGAUGAUAAAACGCUCCCCACUUGCCUUCUGCCAUGAUUGAAAGCUUCUUUGGGCCUCACCAGAAGCAGAGCAGAUGCCAGCACCAUUCUUCCUGUACAGCCUGCAGAACCGUGAGCCAAUUAAACCUAUUUUCCUUAUAAA